rnacentral:rRNA from 1 species
UACACCUACGGGGGGCAGCAGUAGGGAAUCUUCCACAAUGGGCGAAAGCCUGAUGGAGCAACGCCGCGUGGGUGAAGAAGGUCUUCGGAUCGUAAAACCCUGUUGUUAGAGAAGAAAGUGCGUGAGAGUAACUGUUCACAUUUCGACGGUAUCUAACCAGAAAGCCACGGCUAACUACGUGCCAGCAGCAGCGGUAAUACGUAGCUGGCAAGCGUUAUCAGGAUUUAUUGGGCGUAAAGGGAACGCAGGCGGUCGUUUCAGUCUGAU